UUGUAAUCAGUUGGGCAGAACUGUCUGUAUAUUAGAUACACGGAUAUUUCGGAGCUGUACAAGAAGCUGAGUGGUUGGUUAGUGUACAGUCUCAGACAGUGCAACCUAAUAAUAAACCUACAGAGCACAAUGCGCAUCAUCUUCCUCCUUCUCGUCGCUGUCACUCUCGGAAAUGCAUUAAAGUGCGUGACUCAAAAUUCUUCGGGGAAGGGUACAGCAACCUGUAAACCCCUUGAAAACAAAUGUUUAACAGUACAAACCAAAACAUAUGUAAUAAAGAUGUGCGCCACUAGUGGGCAAUGCACUUGUUUUAGAGGGUUGUGCCUGCCGGCGGAGAAGAUUUCCUGCUGUGACAAAGACUUGUGCAAUGCAUGAAAUGGAUCUUUCUACUCGCAGGAUUUCCAUGUGACUUCACAAAAAAAAACCCUCAUGACCCAACGUACUCAUAUAUCCUCUUUUUCUUUCUCUCUUAUUUCCUAUAGGUAUUGGCACGCUACUUUGUCUCUGAUAUCUGUUUAAUAAAGAACUCUCUGAACUGCA